ACUCUGGAGGCAUUGCCUCUCCUCGUCUUUGCUGAAGCCAGAGGUCAUGUGCUCACACAAUCAUAUGGAGAAGCAUAAAUGAGCUAUUUCUCAUCACCUAGCUCUUUUUAUCAGGAUUAAAAAUCUUUCCUCAAAAAGUCCAGAAGCAUACUUCCCUCUAGCCUAGUUGGCCAAGAUUACAUAACGUGCCUCCGAUGGAACCAAUCACUGGUGAAGGGAAUGCAAUUAUCGUGAUUCUAGAUUAACUGCAAUAAUUGACAUUCAUCCCCUGGAGCUGGGAUAGAAAGCCGAUUUACAGCAUCGCUGAGCAGGAAAAAAGAGAAGGCUGUUGAACAGGAGGCAACAGGCAAUGACAUAAUUAAUUGUUAAUGGAAUUCUAGCCAAAAGGAUGUGGGAGGAAAGGAAGGAGCCACAAAGGGAGAAUCAUGCCUAAGAGUUAACUAUGGUACUCUGAAGCAGAACAGAGACAGCAAAAGCCAAGAUCUUUGAUUAUCAGCAGACCUGCACUACAAGAUGUGUAAAGACAGCUCUUCAGGCAGAAGGAAUUUUACGAGAGAGAAAUUUUGAUGUAUACAAAGAAUGAAGAUUUCUGGAAGUGAUGAAAAUAAAGAUAAGUAUAAAAGUUUUUUCUUUUUAGUUACUCUAAAAGAUUAUUGGUUUUCUAAAGCAAAAAUAAGAGUGAUGUAUUUUGGCAUAUGCAAAAUUAAAAUGUGUGACAGCAAUAGCAUCACUAGUUAUGGGAGGGAGAAAUUGGAAGCAUGUGCUAUAAGGUUUUUAAAGCCUUUGAAGUAGUGUGAUAUUGUUUUAGUAAGACUGUGCUUUAUUUUUAUUUUUAUUAUUGAGAUAGGGUCUCAUUCUGUUGUCUAGGCUGGAGUGCAGUGGUGCAAUCUCAGCUCACUGCAACCUCCACUUCCCAGGUUCAAGCAAUUCUUGUGCCUCAGCCUCCUGAGUAGCUGGGACUAUAGGCACUCGCCAUCAUGCCUAGCUAAUUUUUGUAUUUUUAAUAGAGACGGGGUUCCACCACAUUGGCCAGGCUGGUCUCAAACUCCUGACCUCAGAUGAUCCACUUGCCUCAGCCUCCCAAAGUGCUGGGAUUACAGGCAUGAGCCACUGUGCCCAGCCUAAGACCGUGCUUUAUUAAUGAUGCACAUUAUAAAGCUUGAAACAGCUACUAAAAAUAUUUCUAAAAGAUAUAUGAAUAAUAGGCCAAAAGUGUAGAUAAGAUUGAAUGUAAAAAGAUAACCAAUCCAAAGCAAGCAGAAAAAGAGGAGCAAAGGAUGGACAGAAAAAUUUAAAACAACUAACAAAAUGGUAGGUUUUAAUAAGAAUAUAUCAAUAAUAAACAAAUUGUCUAAACAUAACAAAAGACACAGAUUAUCAGGUUUAAUAAACAAGCAACUCAUCAACUCUAUAUAGUCUUUAAGAAACUCAUUUUAAAUACAGGUUAAAAUUAAAAGAAUAGAAAAAGAUGGAUUAUAAAAACACUGAUCAAAAGAAAGCUGAAGGGACUAAAUAUCAAAGUAGACUUCAGAACAAAUGUUAUCAGGAAUCAUGAGGAAUAUGACAUAAUGAUAAAGAAGACAUGGCAAUCAUAAAUGCGUAUGAACCUAACAAUGGAGCUGCAAAAUACAUUAAGCAAAAACUAAUGGAAUUAAAAGGGAAAUUGACAAAUCCAUAAUUAUAGUUGGAAAUGUUAAUAUUCUCUCAGUAAUUAAUAGAACAGAUAAGUUUUAAAUAUCAAUAACUUUAGAGAACAUGUGAGUAACAUUGUCAACAAACUUAACCUACUUGGCAUUAGUAGAACAUUCUAUCCCACAAUAGAACAAUAGCACAAUACACAUUAUUUUCAAGUGCAAAUGGAAGUACACCAAGAUUGCCAUUUUCUUACUCAUAAAACAAACUUUAGCAAAUUUAAAAGAAUUGAAAUCAUACAAACCAUAUUCUCUGAUCGUACUGAAAUUGAUCUAGAAAUCAACAGAAAAAUACCUGGAAAAUUAUGGGGAAAAUGGAAAUUAAACAAUGCAGUUCUAUGUAAUCUAUGACUCAAUGAGUAAGGCAUAAUGGGAAUGAGAAAAUGUUUAAAAAUGAAUGAUAAUAAAAACACAAUAAAUUAAAAUUUGUGUAAUGCAUCUAAAGCAGUAAUGAAGGGAAAGUUAUAGCAUUAAAUGCUUAUAUAAGACAAGAAGAAAGACCUCUUAUCAGUAAUAUGGGUUUUCAUCUUAAGGAACUAGAAAGAGAAGAACAUAUUAAACCCAAAGCAGAAAGCAAGAAAUCAUAAAGAUCUGUGCAAAAAUCAGUGGAAUAGAAAACAGAGUAACAACAGAGAAAAUCGAUGAAAUCAAAAGCUUGCUCUUUGAGAUCAAUAACACUGAUGAAUCUCUAGUUAUGCUGAUCAGAGAGGGAAGCCAAAAAUAAUCAAUACUGGGAAUGAGAGCAGUGAAAUCACUACAUAGUCCACAGUAAUUAAAAGAUAACAAGGGGAUAUAUGAGCAACGUCAUGCCAAUAAAGUUGUUGCCACGGCUGAGUGUUUUAGGGGAGUGUUUGGCUGGAUGUUUUAGGGCACUGAUUGACUAUAGAUAAAAGAUUUUUUGUGGGUGAUGGAACUAUUCUGUGUCUUGAUUAUAACAUACAGCUGCACAGAUGUAUGUGUUUGUCAAAAUUUAUAGGACUGUACAUUAAAAUUGUUGAAUUUUAUCUUAUUUAAAUAAAUUUGUUAGCGCAGUUUAAGGCACUGUAUUGUGUCUCAGUCAUCCUUAACAUAUGUCGUAGCCAUAUAUAACUUUUGGACUUUUUCUUCUCUUGUUUUCAAUUUACAUAGAUUAAAAGAAUUGUUAGAUAUCAAAACAUUUGUUUAUUAAAACUUCUUGUCAUAGACUGGAGGAGAAUAUACAGCCAUGAAAACUACGUACAAUAUGGCGUCUUGAAUUGGAUCCUGGAGCAGACAAUGGGAUUACUGGGAAAACUGGUGAAGACUGGAAAAUAGAAAAAAUAGAGUCUCCAGGGAACUAAAAAUAGAAUUAAUGUACAAUUCAGCAAUCUUGCUGGGUAUCUACUCAAAGGAGAAGAAAUCAUUAUAUUAAAAAAUAGCUGUACUUCUAUGUCUAUUGCAGCAUCAUUCACAAUAGCAAUGAUAUGAAAUCAAUCUAAAAUGUCCAUCAGUGGAUGACUGGAUAAAGAAAAUGUAUUUACGCAUACACACACAUACACACAUAUACACACACACAAUAGAAUACUGUUGAGCCAUAAAAAAGAAUGAAAUCAUGUUCUUUUGCAGCAACAUGGAUGGUACUUGAGGCCAUUAUUUUAAGUAUAACCGCUCAGAAACAGAAAGUCAAAUACUGCACAUUCUUACUUAUAAGCGGGAGCUAAAUAAUGUGUACACAUUGACAUAGAGUGUGGAAUAAUAGACAUUAGACAAUCAGAAGGGUGAAACGGUGGUAAGAGGGUAAGGGAUUAGAAAUUAAUGGGUAAAAUGUACGUUACUCAGGUGAUGCAUACACUAAAAGCCCAGACUUCGCCACUGCACAAU